GGCUGUGGCUCAGGGGGUGUGGGGCAGAGCAUCUGAUUUACAUGUAGAAGGCCCCUGGUUCCAUCUCCAGGUAGGGCUG